GAUCAUGGCUCAGGAUGAACGCUGGCGGCAUGCUAAACACAUGCAAGUCGAACGGGAAGUGGUGUUUCCAGUGGCGAACGGGUGAGUAACGCGUAAGAACCUGCCCUUGGGAGGGGAACAACAACUGGAAAUGGUUGCUAAUACCCCGUAGGCUGAGGAGCAAAAGGAGAAAUCCGCCCAAGGAGGGGCUCGCGUCUGAUUAGCUAGUUGGUGAGGCAAUAGCUUACCAAGGCGAUGAUCAGUAG
rnacentral:rRNA from 1 species